UGUGGCUCAGUGGUAGAGCACUUGCCUAGCAUGUGUGAGGUCCUGGGUUCAAUCCUCAGCA
rnacentral:tRNA from 1 species